GGAGAGAUGACAGAGUGGUCGAUCGUGGCGGUCUCGAAAACCGUUGUACGGACAACCGUACCGGGAGUUCGAAUCUCCCUCUCUCCGCCA
rnacentral:tRNA from 1 species